AUACGGGGGGGGCGAGCGUUGUCCGGAAUCAUUGGGCGUAAAGGGUGAGUAGGCGGGAUGGUAAGUCAGAGGUGAAAGUCCAGGGCUCAACUCUGGAUCUGCCUCUGAUACUGCUGUCCUUGAGUGCGGGAGAGGGAAGUGGAAUUCCCGGUGUAGCGGUGAAAUGCGUAGAUAUCGGGAAGAACACCAGUGGCGAAGGCGGCUUCCUGGCCCGCAACUGACGCUGAAUCACGAAAGCGUGGGGAGCAAACAGGAUUAGAAACCCUAGUAGUCC
rnacentral:rRNA from 1 species